AUUUGGGUAUAAAAAUAUUAUUUAUGAUUUAAAUGUAUGGUAAAAAUGCAAUUCAUCUGUUUUUUUAUGUGCUAUUGUUCGUUUUUGAGCUAAUGUUAGUAAUGAGCUUUUGUUUUGAAGGAUCGCUAACUCUCUUCCUACUUCCUGGCGGUAUUGUGUCUUGCGGUAAAAAAACAAGCAAUUGACAGCGGUACGAGCUGACGGUAAAGGCAGUAAAAGGGAAAAUAAAGCCGUGACGGUAACACAAGAAUAAAACGGCGAAGGCUGACUGUAAUAGCAACCCCCCGAGGAGGCACAAGUUCUCACGUUGGUUUCACCUUGAUUUACGGAUUUAAUAAGGAGCUUGUAUGGAAAUAAACAUUGUGAAAACCAUCAGUCGGGUCCACCAUCUUUCGGAGGGUAUGCUACACAGGGCACUCUGUGACGAAGCUCAAGAAUGCACCUCAUCUAGCAGAGAUGGCAGAUAUCCAGUUUAGAAGAGGAUCAAGUAACAUGUGGGUGAAACUCUUUCACGAUCAGGAGGAUUUCACAGUGCUUUCAGAGAAUUCAAACAACUGAGGCCUGUAAUCAAGGGGGUUGGGAGGCAGAAGAAGGCAGACAUCCUGUCAAAACUCUGCCCACUGAUGCAACCAAACCGUCAGGUGUUCUGUGAAAGUCUUGCCUAAAGUGCUGAAGAUGAAGAGUGAGCUGAGAUGCACUGUCAAGAUGUUCGAGGCCAUCUUGAACUGAAUUGAAUAGCUUAAACAAAUGUACAGGACUAACUUAUAUGUAAAUGUAUUUCCAUAUUUAUGAUAAUAAUCUGUUUUUAAUUUAUUUUUUUUUAAUUGUAAUUUGUUGUUGUGAAUUAAGAAGUUGGAAUCAUGUACAGUAAUAUCUGAUAUGAUAUAUCUGUUUUUUUUUUUAAAUGUGUAAUUUAAUUUAGUCAUACACGUAUUAUAAUAAACACAUUUGACUGUGAUACAGUGUA